rnacentral:rRNA from 1 species
CACACCAUGGGAGCGGGUUGCUCCAGAAGUCGCUGCGCGAACUCGCAAGAGGCGCAGGCGCCCAAGGAGUGGCUCGUGACUGGGGUG